rnacentral:rRNA from 1 species
UACGUAGGGUGCGAGCGUUAAUCGGAAUUACUGGGCGUAAAGCGUGCGCAGGCGGUUUUAUAAGCCAGAUGUGAAAGCCCCGGGCUCAACCUGGGAACUGCAUUUGUGACUGCAUGGCUUGAGUGCGGCAGAGGGGGAUGGAAUUCCGCGUGUAGCAGUGAAAUGCGUAGAUAUGCGGAGGAACACCGAUGGCGGAAGGCAAUCCCCUGGGCCUGC